rnacentral:rRNA from 1 species
GUCUUUAAGUAUUUUAAUUUAAAGUCAAAUCUGCCCAAUGAAUUUUUUAAAUGGCUGCAAAAUUUUAUUGUACUAAGGUAGCAUAAUAAUUUGUUUUUUAAUUAAAAACUAGAAUGAAAGAUUUAAUGAAAUAUAAACUUUUUCAAUUAAAUUUAUAUUAAAAUUUUUAUUUAAAUAAAAAAAUUUAAAUAAAAUUUAAAGACGAUAAGACCCUAUAGAAUUUUAUUUAUUUAAAUAUUAUAUUAAAAUUUAAAUAAAUUUUAUUGGGGUAAUAAAAAAAUAAAAUAAAUUUUUUUUUUAUAAAACAAUUUUUUUGAAUAAAAAAUCUUAAAAUUUAAAUUAAAAAAAUUAAUUACCUUAGGGAUAACAGCAUAAUUUUUUUUAAAAGACCAUAUUUAUAAAAAAGAUUAU